rnacentral:rRNA from 1 species
AGCUAACGUUGGCGGCGUGCCUAACACAUGCAAGUCGAACGCGCCGUAGCAAUACGGUGAGUGGCAGACGGGUGAGUAACACGUGGGUAAUCUCCCUCCGAGUGUGGAAUAAGCUCCCGAAAGGGGGUCUAAUACCGCAUGACGCCCUCGGGCUUAAGUCCGAGGGUUAAAGCCGCAAGGCGCUUGGAGAUGAGCCUGCGUCCUAUUAGCUAGUUGGUAGGGUAAUGGCCUACCAAGGCUUAGAUGGGUAGCCGGCCUGAGAGGGUGAACGGCCACACUGGGACUGAGACACGGCCCAGACUCCUACGGGUGGCUG